rnacentral:rRNA from 1 species
UACGGAGGAUGCAAGCGUUAUCCGGAAUGAUUGGGCGUAAAGCGUCCGCAGGUGGCUGUGUAAGUCUGCUGUUAAAGAGUCUAGCUCAACUAGAUAAAAGCAGUGGAAACUACACGGCUAGAGUACGUUCGGGGCAGAGGGAAUUCCUGGUGUAGCGGUGAAAUGCGUAGAUAUCAAGAGGAACACCUGAGGCGAAGGCGGGUUGCUAGGCUGACACUGACGCUGAUGCGCGAAAGCCAGGGGAGCAAACGGG